rnacentral:rRNA from 1 species
AUACGACUCUCGGCAACGGAUAUCUCGGCUCUCGCAUCGAUGAAGAACGUAGCGAAAUGCGAUACUUGGUGUGAAUUGCAGAAUCCCGCGAACCAUCGAGUCUUUGAACGCAAGUUGCGCCCGAGGCCUCUAGGUCGAGGGCACAUCUGCUUGGGCGUUAAACAAC